rnacentral:rRNA from 1 species
CGAAGGAUGCAAGCGUUAUCCGGAUUCAUUGGGUUUAAAGGGAGCGUAGGUGGCCUUAUAAGUCAGUGGUGAAAUCCUGUUGCUUAACAAUAGAAUUGCCAUUGAUACUGUAGGGCUUGAGUAUAGUCGCCGUUGGCGGAAUAUGACAUGUAGUGGUGAAAUACAUAGAGAUGUCAUAGAACACCGAUUGCGAAGGCAGCUAACGAAACUAUAACUGACACUGAGGCUCGAAAGUGCGGGGAUCAAACAGGAUUAGAUACCCUGGUAGUCCGCACUGUAAACGAUGAUUACUCGCUGCUAGAGGGCAACUUUUAGUGGCUUAGCGAAAGCGAUAAGUAACCCACCUGGGGAGUACGCCGGCAACGGUG